rnacentral:rRNA from 1 species
CCUACGGGAGGCAGCAGUGGGGAAUAUUGCACAAUGGGGGAAACCCUGAUGCAGCGACGCCGCGUGAGCGAAGAAGUAUUUCGUUAUGUAAAGCUCUAUCAGCAGGGAAGAAAAUGACGGUACCUGACUAAGAAGCCCCGGCUAACUACGUGCCAGCAGCCGCGGUAAUACGUAGGGGGCAAGCGUUAUCCGGAUUUACUGGGUGUAAAGGGAGCGUAGACGGCUGUGCAAGUCAGGGGUGAAAGGCGGGGGCUCAACCCCGGGACUGCUCUGGAAACUGUGCGGCUGGAGUGCAGGAGAGGUAAGUGGAAUUCCUAGUGUAGCGGUGAAAUGCGUAGAUAUUAGGAGGAACACCAGUGGCGAAGGCGGCUUACUGGACUAUAACUGACGUUGAGGCUCGAAAGCGUGGGGAGCAAACAGGAUUAGAUACCCGUGUAGUC